GUCACAUCGCUAAUCCACGUUAUGUCUGCUCGUGUGUAACCUUAUCAAGCAGCACUGUCAGUCACGAGUGAAAAAACGCGGCCUUUUCUGCUUGUCUUUGAUUCAGGAGAAAGUCACCACGCUGCCGCUCACUACAAGAUCACUUUGCAGCUUCAGGUGCAGCUGAGUUAUCGUCAGGAUCAAAGCACAAGGUCAUUUUAAGGAGAUUCUUACUGAAAUCUUGUGAGAUUAUCUCAGAAUGGUGCCUGUUCCCACUAGUGAAGGAGCUUUGCUAUCAGCUCCAAGGUCAGCAACUCCCUUCAUCUCUGUGCCUCCUCCACUGAAGGAAAACAGGACCCAGAACCUGUUGGAUAUGUACGUUA